rnacentral:rRNA from 1 species
UACGGGGGAGCAAGCGUUGUUCGGAUUUACUGGGCGUAAAGGGCGCGUAGGCGGUCAGCACAAGUCAGUUGUGAAAUCUCCGGGCUUAACUCGGAAAGGUCAACUGAUACUGUGCGACUAGAGUGCAGAAGGGGCAACUGGGAAUUCUCGGUGUAGCGGUGAAAUGCGUAGAUAUCGAGAGGAACACCUGCGGCGAAGGCGGGUUGCUGGGCUGACACUGACGCUGAGGCGCGAAAGCGUGGGGAGCGAACAGG